CCUGUUCACUGGCUCUUCCAGCUCCUUCCCUCAGAAACCAAGUGUGAGGUCACAAACUGAUGGCCAAAUAUUCUCCUUCAGGAUUUUCUUGGAAAGAGCAGAAUUCAUGGUUCCAUCAAUCACAGCAAGCAGCCACGGACCAUCACACUACCACCAUGUUUGACUGUUGGACACGCUGGAGAAACUACGUCCUUCGGCUGGCCUGGGAACGACUCGGGAUCCCCCCGGAAGAGAUGGAUGAAGUGGCUGGGGGAGUGAAGUCUGGGCGUCCCUGCUAAAGCUACU